GUGUGAGGCGUGAUGCGUAGCCCGUAUGGGGUGAUGGUGGUGAUCCUAUGCUGUCGAGAAAAGCCUCUAGCGAUGUGUGUGUACGGCCCGUACCCGAAACCGACACAGGUAGUCAGGUAGAAAAUACUCAGGCGGUCGGGUGAACUGUGGUUAAGGAACUCGGCAAAUUGCCCCCGUAACUUCGGGAGAAGGGGGGCCAUGACUGGUGAGCGCACCAUGCGUGUGUGAGCUGGUUGUGGUCGCAGAGAAGAGAGGGAAGCGACUGUUUAUCAAAAACACAGGUCCGUGCGAAGACGGUCAAGUUGAUGUAUACGGACUGACGCCUGCCCGGUGCUGGAAGGUUAAGAGGACCUGUUAGACCCUUUGUGGUCGAAGCGGAGAAUUUAAGCCCCAGUAAACGGCGGUGGUAACUAUAACCAUCCUAAGGUAGCGAAAUUCCUUGUCGGGUAAGUUCCGACCUGCACGAAUGGCGUAACGACUUCCCUGCUGUCUCAACCACAGGCCCGGUGAAAUUGCACUACGAGUAAAGAUGCUCGUUACGCGCGGCAGGACGAAAAGACCCCGGGACCUUCACUAUAGCUUGGUAUUGGUGUUUACUGCGGUUUGUGUAGCAUAGGUGGGAGACUUAGAAGCGUUCACGCUAGUGGGUGUGGAGUCGGCAAGUGAAAUACCACUCUGACCGUAGUGGAUGUCUUAACCUUGG
rnacentral:rRNA from 1 species